CUGAGGGUGUGGUGAUCAAUGGAUAUGACUGUUGAAAUAAGCAAACCGUGACAGAAGGCAGUGUGAACUGGGCUAUGGAGGCAAGGGCAGUAAAAUGAGAAGUGUCAUCGAGAAAGACCGUAUGCUUUUCUAAUAAGGUUUUUAGUGGUUUCUUUAAAGGACUGGAGAUGAUGAAAGAAUGAUGGCAUAGCAGCCUUUCAAAAAUAUUGCAGAUAAUGUGGGAAUGAGCAGAUGUCAUUUGCAGAGCAAAGGGAACAGAAAUGGAUCAUUUUUGCCAACAGGUUUAGC